rnacentral:rRNA from 1 species
CCCUUAGAGUUUGAUCCUGGCUCAGAUUGAACGCUGGCGGCAGGCCUAACACAUGCAAGUCGAGCGGUAGAGAGAAGCUUGCUUCUCUUGAGAGCGGCGGACGGGUGAGUAAUGCCUAGGAAUCUGCCUGGUAGUGGGGGAUAACGUCCGGAAACGGACGCUAAUACCGCAUACGUCCUACGGGAGAAAGCAGGGGACCUUCGGGCCUUGCGCUAUCAGAUGAGCCUAGGUCGGAUUAGCUAGUUGGUGAGGUAAUGGCUCACCAAGGCGACGAUCCGUAACUGGUCUGAGAGGAUGAUCAGUCACACUGGAACUGAGACACGGUCCAGACUCCUACGGGAGGCAGCAGUGGGGAAUAUUGGACAAUGGGCGAAAGCCUGAUCCAGCCAUGCCGCGUGUGUGAAGAAGGUCUUCGGAUUGUAAAGCACUUUAAGUUGGGAGGAAGGGUUGUAGAUUAAUACUCUGCAAUUUUGACGUUACCGACAGAAUAAGCACCGGCUAACUCUGUGCCAGCAGCCGCGGUAAUACAGAGGGUGCAAGCGUUAAUCGGAAUUACUGGGCGUAAAGCGCGCGUAGGUGGUUUGUUAAGUUGGAUGUGAAAGCCCCGGGCUCAACCUGGGAACUGCAUUCAAAACUGACAAGCUAGAGUAUGGUAGAGGGUGGUGGAAUUUCCUGUGUAGCGGUGAAAUGCGUAGAU